rnacentral:misc_RNA from 1 species
UACGUAGGGUCCAAGCGUUAUCCGGAAUCAUUGGGCGUAAAGAGCUCGUAGGCGGUUCAGCAAGUCGGCUGUGAAAGUCCGAGGCUCAACCUCGGAAUUGCAGUCGAUACUGCUGUGACUCGAGUCCGGUAGAGGAGAAUGGAAUUCUCGGUGUAGCGGCGAAAUGCGCAGAUAUCGGGAGGAACACCAGUAGCGAAGGCGGCGAUCUGGGCCGGUACCGACGCUGAGGAGCGAAAGCAUGGGGAUCGAACAGG